rnacentral:rRNA from 1 species
CCUACGGGAGGCAGCAGUGGGGAAUAUUGGACAAUGGGGGCAACCCUGAUCCAGCCAUGCCGCGUGUGUGAAGAAGGCCUUCGGGUUGUAAAGCACUUUUGUUGGGGAAGAAACCGGCCGGGUUAAUACCCUGGUUGAAUGACGGUACCCAAAGAAUAAGCACCGGCUAACUUCGUGCCAGCAGCCGCGGUAAUACGAAGGGUGCAAGCGUUACUCGGAAUUACUGGGCGUAAAGCGUGCGUAGGCGGUUUGUUAAGUCUGCUGUGAAAGCCCUGGGCUCAACCUGGGAACUGCAGUGGAUACUGGCGAGCUAGAGUGUGUCAGAGGAUGGUGGAAUUCCCGGUGUAGCGGUGAAAUGCGUAGAGAUCGGGAGGAACACCAGUGGCGAAGGCGGCCAUCUGGGACAACACUGACGCUGAGGCACGAAAGCGUGGGGAGCAAACAGGAUUAGAUACCCUGGUAGUCCACGCCCUAAACGAUGCGAACUGGACGUUGGGCACACUUAGGUGCUCAGUGUCGAAGCUAACGCGUUAAGUUCGCCGCCUGGGGAGUACGGUCGCAAGACUGAAACUCAAAUGAAUUGACG